GUAAUUGAUGAGCAACUUGCAUGCUUCACCCUUUAAGACAAAUGGGCUUUUGUUCCCAAGUAGUUACCUGCAGUUGGAGGUAAAGGGGUGCAGAAACAUCUCCUGUGGGCUUAGUGCACGUAGAUCAAGAGAGAAGUCCAAAAAGAACACAUGCAGAAAAUUUGAGAAAUGAACCAAGUUGGUUAUUACUAUUAUGCAUUUUUUUAAAAUCAAGGGUCCAGAACUCUCCCCAUGCUUGCAAUUUAUUCUUAACAACUCAUAUGGUGAUA